rnacentral:rRNA from 1 species
CCUACGGGAGGCAGCAGUGGGGAAUAUUGCACAAUGGGCGCAAGCCUGAUGCAACCAUGCCGCGUGUGUGAAGAAGGCCUUCGGGUUGUAAAGCACUUUCAGCGGGGAGGAAGGCGUUAAGGUUAAUAACCUUGGCGAUUGACGUUACCCGCAGAAGAAGCACCGGCUAACUCCGUGCCAGCAGCCGCGGUAAUACGGAGGGUGCAAGCGUUAAUCGGAAUUACUGGGCGUAAAGCGCACGCAGGCGGUCUGUCAAGUCGGAUGUGAAAUCCCCGGGCUCAACCUGGGAACUGCAUUCGAAACUGGCAGGCUAGAGUCUUGUAGAGGGGGGUAGAAUUCCAGGUGUAGCGGUGAAAUGCGUAGAGAUCUGGAGGAAUACCGGUGGCGAAGGCGGCCCCCUGGACAAAGACUGACGCUCAGGUGCGAAAGCGUGGGGAGCAAACAGGAUUAGAUACCCGGGUAGUC